rnacentral:rRNA from 1 species
GAUGAACGCUGGCGGCGUGCCUAAUACAUGCAAGUCGAGCGAACGGACGCGACGUUUGCUUCUCUGUUGUUAGCGGCGCACGGGUGUGUCACAUGUGGAUCACCUACCUAUCAUACUGGGAACACUUCGGAACACCGGCUAUAACACCGGAGGAUCUUUUGCUCCGCGUGGGUCAAAGGAGAAAUACGGUCUUGCUGGCUCUUAUCGAUGGAUCCGCGCUGCAUUAGCUAGUUGUUAAGUUACUGGCUUUCGAAGGCAACGAGGCAUGGCCGACCGGCGUGGGUGAUCGGCGGCCUUGGAACGGGAACGCGGUCCUUACUCCUGCGGGAGGCAGCAGUAGGGAAUCGUACGCAAUGGGCGAAAGCCUGACGGAGCAACGCCGCGUGAGUGAUGAAGGUCUUCGGAUCGUAAAACUCUGUUAUGGGUGAAGAACAGAUGUGUAAGUAACUGUGCACAUCUUGACGGUACCUAAUCAGAAAGCCACGGCUAACUACGUG